rnacentral:rRNA from 1 species
AUACGGAGGGUGCGAGCGUUAAUCGGAAUUACUGGGCGUAAAGCGUGCGUAGGCGGUUUGCUAAGUCAGAUGUGAAAGCCCCGGGCUUAACCUGGGAACUGCAUUUGAUACUGGCAGACUAGAGUAUGAUAGAGGGGGGUAGAAUUCUUGGUGUAGCGGUGAAAUGCGUAGAUAUCAGGAGGAAUACCAGUGGCGAAGGCGGCCCCCUGGAUCAAUACUGACGCUGAGGUACGAAAGCGUGGGGAGCGAACAGGAUUAGAAACCCUAGUAGUCC